UAGGAACCUGUCCUAUAAUUGAUAGUCCACGAUUUAAUUUACUUAUCUUAGAUUAGUUUACAUAUCGUCGUAGUUUGAAUAUUUUAUAAGAAAUUUAAUAUUCAAAAUUUUUUUAAGAAAAAAAAUCAGAUCAAGGUGUAGCUUAUAGAUAAGAAGAGAUGGGUUACAAUAAAUUUAUUUAUUAUGGAUAUAUUAAUUUAGAUUUUUAUUGAAAGUGGAUUUGAAAGUAAUUUUAACUAAAUAGUUAAAAUGAUUUUAGCUCUAAAAUAUGCACAUAUCGCCCGUCGCUUUCACUUUAAAGUGGAAUAAGUCGUAACAAAGUAGGCUUACUGGAAAGUGUGCCUAGAAAGAACAAAUCAAAGCUUUAAAAAGCAUUUUAGUUACAUUAAAAAGGUUAUUGUUAAAAUCAAUAUGAUUUGAAUUUAAAAAUUUAUUAAUUAAUUUAUUUUUUAGGAAUAUUAAAUUAAGUAAAAUUUAGUUUUAUUAAUUUUAAUGAAAAAAUUAUAUUUAUUAUAGAGUAAUAGUAUUGUGAAAGAAAAUUUGAUUAUUUAUAAAAGAAGAAUUUAUUUUUUGUACCUUGUGUAUCAGGGUUUAUUAAUUAAUUAUUAAAAAUUUAUUAUUCUCGAAUUUAAAAGAGCUAUAUUUUUAUAUUUUUUAUUGUUGAAUAAAUAUUUAAAAUAAAAAUAUUGAAGUGAAAUGCUAUUCGAUUUUAAAUAUAUCUAGUUUUUUAAGAAAAAAGUUUAAUUUUAAUUAUAAUUUUAUUAUUAUUUUAUAUUUUUAAUUUAAUAAUAUUUAUAAUUUAUAUUUAAAGGGAUAAGCUUUUAAAUAAAUUAUUAUAAAUUUAUUUAAAAUUUUAAUUAAGUAGGAUUAUAAGUUUUUAUCUUUAAAAUUGUGUUAUAACUAUUUUAAUUUUAUUUAAGAUUUUUAUUUAUUUUAAUUUUUUUAUUAAAAUAUAAAUUUAAAUUUGAUUAAUUUAGAAAUAAUGAUAAAAUUAGUAUAAUUAAUAUUGUUUAAAUAUUUUUAUUUUUAAGGUUAAAUAAAGGAACUCGGCAAAUUUUUCUUUUCACCUGUUUAUUAAAAACAUGGCCUUUUGAAAAUAAUUUAAGGUCUAACCUGCCCAAUGAGUGUUUUAAAUGGCCGCGGUAUUUUGACCGUGCAAAGGUAGCAUAAUCAUUAGUUUUUUAAUUGAAAGCUGGAAUGAAUGGUUGAAUGAGAAAGAAACUGUCUCUAUUUAAAUUUAUUAGAAUUUUAUUUUUAAGUUAAAAAGCUUAAAUUUUAUUAAAAGACGAGAAGACCCUAUAGAGUUUAAUAAUUUUUUUUUGUUAAAGUUUUUAGAAUUUAU
rnacentral:rRNA from 1 species